GGUGGCUCAGUGGUAGAGUGCUUGCCUCGCAUGCAUAAAGCCCUGGGUUCAAUUCCUCAGCACCA
rnacentral:tRNA from 1 species